CAGGGAGACACAGUGAAGGGAAAAGAAGAGAGAGGAAAAACGAAGAGGCCGCUGCUGGUGUUCUCGGUCCCAGUUUUAUAAGAAAAUUGGCAAGUGUUGACCAUCAGUGAGUUCUGGACCCAGAGUUCGGGCACAGAUGAAGAACAGACACGGACUUCACACUCCUGAUAGGGGUGUGAGCGAACCCCCGGUGUCCACGCCUGCCCAGUCGCUCUAAUGCUGAGGCGAUCAUGAGGCGAUCAUAAUGCGAUCAUGAUGAUGGUGAUGAGGGUCCCGCCGGGGGGACUGGAACAU